GACGAACGCUGGCGGCGUGCUUAACACAUGCAAGUCGAACGGAAAGGCCCUGCUUUUGUGGGGUGCUCGAGUGGCGAACGGGUGAGUAACACGUGAGUAACCUGCCCUUGACUUUGGGAUAACUUCAGGAAACUGGGGCUAAUACCGGAUAGGAGCUCCUGCUGCAUGGUGGGGGUUGGAAAGUUUCGGCGGUAGGGGAUGGACUCGCGGCUUAUCAGCUUGUUGGUGGGGUAGUGGCUUACCAAGGCUUUGACGGGUAGCCGGCCUGAGAGGGUGACCGGCCACAUUGGGACUGAGAUACGGCCCAGACUCCUACGGGAGGCAGCAGUGGGGAAUAUUGCACAAUGGGCGGAAGCCUGAUGCAGCAACGCCGCGUGCGGGAUGACGGCCUUCGGGUUGUAAACCGCUUUCGCCUGUGACGAAGCGUGAGUGACGGUAAUGGGUCAAGAAGCACCGGCUAACUACGUG
rnacentral:rRNA from 1 species